UUCCUACGGGAGGCAGCAGUAGGGAAUCUUCCGCAAUGGACGAAAGUCUGACGGAGCAACGCCGCGUGAGUGAUGAAGGUUUUCGGAUCGUAAAGCUCUGUUGUUAGGGAAGAACAAGUGCCGUUCAAAUAGGGCGGCGCCUUGACGGUACCUAACCAGAAAGCCACGGCUAACUACGUGCCAGCAGCCGCGGUAAUACGUAGGUGGCAAGCGUUGUCCGGAAUUAUUGGGCGUAAAGGGCUCGCAGGCGGUUUCUUAAGUCUGAUGUGAAAGCCCCCGGCUCAACCGGGGAGGGUCAUUGGAAACUGGGGAACUUGAGUGCAGAAGAGGAGAGUGGAAUUCCACGUGUAGCGGUGAAAUGCGUAGAGAUGUGGAGGAACACCAGUGGCGAAGGCGACUCUCUGGUCUGUAACUGACGCUGAGGAGCGAAAGCGUGGGGAGCGAACAGGAUUAGAUACCCUGGUAGUCC
rnacentral:rRNA from 1 species